AGGAUGAGCUCGCGCCUGAUUAGCUAGUUGGUAAGGUAACGGCUUACCAAGGCCACGAUCAGUAGCUGGUUUGAGAGAACGAUCAGCCACACUGGGACUGAGACACGGCCCAGACUCCUCCGGGAGGCAGCAGUGAGGAAUUUUCCGCAAUGGGCGAAAGCCUGACGGAGCAAUACCGCGUGAGGGAUGAAGGAUUUUGGUCUGUAAACCUCUUUUCUCAAGAAAGAAGUUCUGACGGUACUUGAGGAAUAAGCAUCGGCUAACUCCGUGCCAGCAGCCGCGGUAAUACGGGGGAUGCAAGCGUUAUCCGGAAUCAUUGGGCGUAAAGCGCCUGUAGGUUGUUUAAUAAGUCUGUUGUUAAAGACUAGGGCUUAACCCUAGAAAAGCAAUGGAAACUACUAGACUAGAGUAUGGCAGGGGUAGAGGGAAUUUCUAGUGUAGCGGUGAAAUGCGUAGAUAUUAGAAAGAACACCGGUGGCGAAAGCGCUCUACUGGACCAUUACUGACACUCAGAGGCGAAAGCUAGGGUAGCAAAAGGGAUUAGAUACCCCUGUAGUCCUAGCCGUAAACGAUGGAUACUACAUGUUGUGUUUAUUUCACAGUAUGGUAGCUAACGCGUUAAGUAUCCCGCCUGGGGAGUACGCUCGCAAGGGUGAAACUCAAAGGAAUUGACGGGGGCCCGCACAAGCGGUGGAGCAUGUGGUUUAAUUCGAUGCAACGCGAAGAACCUUACCUGGUCUUGACAUCCACAGAACUUUCCAGAGAUGGAUUGGUGCCUUCGGGAACUGUGAGACAGGUGCUGCAUGGCUGUCGUCAGCUCGUGUCGUGAGAUGUUCGGUUAAGUCCGGCAACGAGCGCAACCCACAUCCCCAGUUGCCAGCAGGUCAUGCUGGGCACUCUGUGGAAACUGCCCGUGAUAAGCGGGAGGAAGGUGUGGAUGACGUCAAGUCCUCAUGGCCCUUACGGGUUGGGCUACACACGUGCUACAAUGGUUAGGACAAAGAGUUGCGAGCUUGUGAAAGUCAGCUAAUCUCGUAAACCUAGCCCAAGUUCAGAUUGUAGGCUGCAACUCGCCUACAUGAAGUUGGAAUCGCUAGUAAUCGCUGGUCAGCCAUACAGCGGUGAAUCCGUUCCCGGGCCUUGUACACACCGCCCGUCACACCAUGGGAGCUGGUCAUACCCGAAACCGUUAGCUUAACCUUUUGGAGAGCGGCGUCUAAGGUAGGGCUAGUGACUGGGGUGAAGUCGGAACAAGGUAGCCGUACUGGAAGGUGCGGCUGGAUCACCUCCUU
rnacentral:rRNA from 1 species